UGAGCCUAUGUCGGAUUAGCUAGUUGGUGAGGUAAUGGCUCACCAAGGCAACGAUCCGUAGCUGGUUUGAGAGGAUGAUCAGCCACACUGGGACUGAGACACGGCCCAGACUCCUACGGGAGGCAGCAGUGGGGAAUAUUGCACAAUGGACGCAAGUCUGAUGCAGCAAUGCCGCGUGUGUGAAGAAGGCCUUAGGGUUGUAAAGCACUUUCAGUAGGGAGGAAAAGUUCAAGGUUAAUAACCUUGGGCCCUGACGUUACCUACAGAAGAAGAACCGCUAACU
rnacentral:rRNA from 1 species